rnacentral:misc_RNA from 1 species
CCCCAAUAUCAGCGCAUCCCGUUUUGCGGGGCGGGUGUUGGGGUUAAAGCCACCAAGUAGUGGUUACAGGCUUGAGGGGAGCUGCCGAGUGGUGGUUCUAGAGGGAAAAGUCUGCCAAGUUCAAAGGUCCAGGCAAGCGAAAAGUUUACCAAGUCGGAAGGUUGGGCGAGUAAAAAAAUUACCAAGUCCAAAAUAUUGGCGGUAACCUACCCGGGACUCCGAGUAAGUCGGGGAAAAAGUUGGCGGAUUUUUUCCCAACCAACUCAACUUUUGACCAAUUUACCUGCCCGAGCUCACGGGUAGGCUGCGGUUUAUUUUUGGACUUUGUAGAUUUACUUGAAUCAAUUCACGGGAAGUUACCUGCCGAAUUACCUGGGCUCCCGGGUAGGCUAUAGUUAACUUUUGGACUUGCGACUAUAACCUGGGAUUUUCCCAACCAUAGCUCACGGGUAGGCUAGUUGUGAUUUUUGGACUUGGUGAAAUUUCUACUUUCCUGCCAAGUCUAGCCUACCCGGGAGCCCAGGCAAGUCGGGCAGGUAAAUUCCGCCAACUCGGCAGGGAACUAAUUGCAAAUCAAUUCGAGCAAAUAUGCCAAGUCCACAAAUGAAUCGCAGCCUACCCGGUAGGUAAGCCUGUGUAGUUUCCGUGUAAUUUUCCCGUAAAGACCAAAAAGUCAGGUGUUUUAGUAUUUAAUUUAUAUAGGCGUGAGUUGAUUUUUUUGUUUUUCUAUAUUAAUAAAUUUUGCGGAAAAUAAAAAAUAAGCUAUAAAAACCUGGUAACAGAGGCGGGCCCUUAAGGUAAUUGGUGGGUAUAUAAGAGGGAGGGCUGGACACGCGUUGCGUUGUGUAUUUCCACCACACCCAAUACUUUUAGCUUUAGGGUAGGCUGCUUGUUCAGAGGCGUGCUGAAUUAAAUGGUCUCUUGAGUGAGGGGAUUUCUCUGCUGGCAGUUGCCUGUGAUCCGGGAGUCCGUGGCGGUAAAGUCAACUGUAAGGCUUGUGUGUGUGCCGGGGCCCUGUAAGUCCCGACCAGGAACCCUACAGGUCACGUGCCGAUACAAUAAGACAGAUAAGAUAUGCGGCACGUGCUAGUACACGUGCCAAUACAAGUGACGAUAAGAUCGAUAAGAUACCUGCACGUGCCUAGUCACGGAGACUUACACGUGUUCCGCUGCCAAGGUCCCCGAGGUCCCCGCGAUUGCCGACCUCGCCGACUACUCCUGGUGUAAUAUACCGGUGUAGUUGUAUAUAAUUUCUUACUAGUCUUAAUAGUAGUACACUUGUUUAUCGCGAUACACUUACUUGUGGUGCGGCUGUGCGGCUGUGCGGCUGUGCUGACGUACUUGUAGUGGUGCACUUACUCUACAAUAGUGCUGGUACUUACGGUCGCACACAAAUCCCUAGUAUUUUGGUGUAGUUGUGAUCGUGGUGGUGCAGUUACAGCAGUGCACUUACCCUGUAGUACUGCUGGCACCGGCCACCGUCGGCCGUGGCGGAGGGUUACCCGGGACCACAGUGCAUUUUUCCGUUUUUUCCAUUUUUUCAAAAUCGACGACCAAAAAGUUGGUAGGUCUGGGUUGCCUUGCUGGCCAAUAGAGAUUUGUAUAGGGUAGGCCGGGGCAGGUACUUGCAGUCGCAUACAAAUUCUCUAGUAAUUUGAUGUACCUCCGCGCGAAUGGCAGUUUGGCAGGGUAGGUACCGGGUAGGCUGGUGCAGGUACUUGCAGUUGCAUACAAAUUCUCUAGUAACUGGAAGUACCCCCGCGCGCGGGCAACUUCAAACCGCUAUAGCGGCUCUCAGCGGCAUCGCACACAACUAUAAGGGCCACCAUUCGAUUCGUCUCGCCGAGCUGCAUCGAUUGAGCCCGGGUUGCCAAAAAGUCGGGUGUUUUGGUAUUUGAUUUGUAUGGGCGUGAGUCGAUUCUUUUGUUUUCCCAUACAAAUGAAUUUUGCGGAAAAUAAAAAAUGGACCACGAGCGCCCGGUGGCGGAGGUGGACCCUCGAGGUGGUCGGUGGGUAUAUGAGAAGGGGGCGUCGAAAGAUGCCGGGACAGCUGGGUCUUCGCUGAAAGGCAGGAUUUCCGGUGAGUCACCGCCCUCUCUGUACCAUAUCUUGCCGAGCCCCAGUGCUUGAGUGGCCUCUUGAACACGCCUGUAGAAGGUCUCUUUUACAGGCUGGGAGGUCACACUGGGGAUUCAAACUCCACGAAACCGGCGGCUACGGCCGUGCGGCGUACUGGUUAUACCUCGUGGCAGUGGGAGGCACCCGCCUCUUACCGCUCAGGAGAUGGGUUCUGUGGGCUGCUGGCCGCUGGCCAACAUGCCGUAAAUCAGAAUAGCGGGAGGCAACCACGGGUAGCUGACGCCGAAAUGGCAGAGGCUGCACGGAGCGUCCUCCUCUUAGGGCACCUAUACCGCACUUUACGGUGCGUGUGGACGGCUGCGCCUAGGGAAUUGAGAGGGGGAAAGCGGAUUUGCCGCUGGGCGGUCUCUCCCGGUCAAACGGGCAGGGCACCUCCCGGCGCGCAGCACCCUUUCGAGUGGGGGAAAGGUGUGCCGACCAGUAACUUGGACUAUUCUCUCCGGCGCCCCCAACAGGGCGUCGGUAGGCCAACCCCGGCGAACGAUAGU